UUGCAUUUCCUAUCACGAUUUCUUGAUAGAGGGUUGCUGCUCACAAGGAAGCUAGUAAACCAAGAGUUCCAAAUGGUGAAGUUGAAAUCAUCCCUUCGUAAAUUUUACGGACGCCAUCACGAGUUGGUUGACCGUUAUGGAAAAACCGUUUCACAAAUGAUAUCGGAUAUGUAUCAGAUAUGUUCAUUACGUCGUAACUACAAUCCCCUUCCCUUUCAUGAAUGUGAC
rnacentral:lncRNA from 1 species